GACGAACGCUGGCGGCGUGCCUAAUACAUGCAAGUUGAGCGCUGAAGGUUGGUACUUGUACCGACUGGAUGAGCAGCGAACGGGUGAGUAACGCGUGGGGAAUCUGCCUUUGAGCGGGGGACAACAUUUGGAAACGAAUGCUAAUACCGCAUAAAAACUUUAAACACAAGUUUUAAGUUUGAAAGAUGCAAUUGCAUCACUCAAAGAUGAUCCCGCGUUGUAUUAGCUAGUUGGUGAGGUAAAGGCUCACCAAGGCGAUGAUACAUAGCCGACCUGAGAGGGUGAUCGGCCCCCUUGGGCCUGAGCCCCGGCCCAAACUCCUCCGGGGGGCCCCUGUAGGGAAUCUUCGGCAAUGGACGAAAGUUUGACCGAGCAACGCCGCGGGGGUGAAGAAGGUUUGCGGAUCGUAAAACCUUUUUGGUAGAGAAGAACGUUGGGGGGGGUGGAAAGCCCAUCAAGUGACGGUAACUCCCCAGAAAGGGCCGGCUAACUCCG
rnacentral:rRNA from 1 species